rnacentral:rRNA from 1 species
AAUGAACGCUGGCGGCGUGCUUAACACAUGCAAGUCGAGCGAGAAAGUCUCUUCGGAGAUUAGUACAGCGGCGGACGGGUGAGUAAUGCGCAGGAACCUGCCCUUUGAUGAGGAAUACUCUUGAGAAAUUGAGAAUAAUACCGCAUAAGUCCCUACGGGGAGAAAGGCGGCUUUAAUGCUGUCGUCAGAGGAUGGGCUUGCGUGCUAUCAGCUAGUUGGUGGGGUAAAGGCCUACCAAGGCUAUGACGGCUAACCGGCCUGAGAGGGUGUACGGUCACACUGGAACUGAGACACGGUCCAGACUCCUACGGGAGGCAGCAGUGGGGAAUAUUGCGCAAUGGGCGAAAGCCUGACGCAGCGACGCCGCGUGGAGGAUGACGGUCUUAGGAUUGUAAACUCCUGUUAAGUGGGAAGAAAAGCCUAUCAGUAAUAUGGAUAGGUUAUGACGGUACCGCUAGAGAAAGCACCGGCUAACUUCGUGCCAGCCGCCGCCGUAAAAC